CCGCUGUCAGCCAUACCGCGUGGUGAGAGGCCUUCGGGUUGUAAAGCCCUUUUGUUGGGAAAAAAACAGCCGGUUAAUACCCGGUUGUUCUGACGGUACCCAAAAAUAAGCACCGGCUAACUUCGUGCCAGCAGCCGCGGUAAUACGAAGGGUGCAAGCGUUACUCGGAAUUACUGGGCGUAAAGCGUGCGUAGGUGGUUGUUUAAGUCUGUCGUGAAAGCCCUGGGCUCAACCUGGGAAUGGCGAUGGAAACUGGGCGACUAGAGGUGGCAGAGGGUAGUGGAAUUCCUGGUGUAGCAGUGAAAUGCGUAGAGAUCAGGAGGAAC
rnacentral:rRNA from 1 species